CCUAUAGAGACUGGAGCUUCUCAUUCAUUAGGCCUGGGUUGGAGGCUGAGAAUAUGCAUUUCUACCAAUUUCUCAAGUGUGGCUGAUCCUGCUGAUCUAGGGGUCAAACUGAAAAUUACUGCUUGAUGUUAAUAGUUGUUCAUCUUGACUGUACAUUAGAAUCAUCUGGAAGGCUUUUAAAAAAUACAAAUGCUGGAAUACUGUAUUAGACCAGUGAAGGCAGAAUCCCUUCAAAUAAGGCCUGCCAUCUGUAUCUUGUAAAGCACCACAGAGAAACCAGGAUUGAGAACAACUAACUUACAUGAGGCUCCGGGAGAGAAAGCAGAGGAAUGAGGAGAAGGUUCUGAGGAUCCGUCCAGGCUCUGAAACUGUCAUAACAAGGGUCCUGUCCAGCUGGGCUCACCCAUCUGUGCCUGAGAUACGCCAGAGCAUUGUCUCAGCUUUCCCAGGAUGAGAAGACUGAAGCAAGAAGCAUCUCACAGCUAGUUUGUGCAGAGCUGUUGUCUGCCGAAAAUCCUGCCUCCUUCCUCUUCCCUCUGCUCUUGAGUGGUUCUCCUCCUUGGCCCCUAAAAUUGUAGAAUUUUUUUCUGACUGGUUGGGUGAACUUCCAGUUGUUCAGAUAGCCUUCUGGUGAAAUGGACUGAAAACAAAGAGAAGAUAUACUUCCUAAAUUUUCAGAGCACUGUGUCUUGAGGGACAAGUAAAAUUGCCACAGGCUUAUCCAUUUUACUUUUUAUUGUAUAUAGAGCUAGAGAAA
rnacentral:lncRNA from 1 species